AGCACUGCUAUAGCUAGCUGAAAGUACUGCAGCGUGUGGCAGUCAGCUGUACUGCAAAGCCAGUCGCAGGCAGCCCUGCAGACCCCCACCUCCGUGGCCACGCAGGCUGCCAGCUGGCUGGCGGGACUGCGUCAGAGCCGUGCUGUGGGGCAUGUCCUGUCCCAAGCACCAGCUGUGGGAGCGUGGUUGUUCUGGGCAGCAGGCUGCAACAGGUACAUCUUCCUGCUCUUCUCUUCCCAAGAUGGGGCUGUGGAAAUCACAUGGAAGUGCUGACUGAAGGGGAGGGUACAGGGGACUCAUUGCCCUUAACUUCUGCAUUGAUUACGGCUCUGACUAAUCGCCCCUAUGAAUCACCACCACUUGUGCGCACAGGUAGGCUUUAGGAGAUUUGGAAGCGUGGCUAUCAAUAAUAAUGUCAGUAACAGAAAUACGCUCCUGCACUGCGCUCCUCUAACAGGAAUAGAGACAAUUAUAGAUUCUUUAGCACAGCCCUGAUUACCAGGACUGCAGUGCUGUCAGCUGGGGCAGGGUUUUGCCCUCGUGCUCUGACAACACACAGAAGUUCAGAGCUGUUGUUGCCCUGCCUCACUAAGAGGAGACAGAACCUUGCUUAGAGCUGCUAUGUAAAUUCUGAUGAAUCACUGCAGCCCACAUGGUUUAUGAACCACCAGCACAUACCAGAAGUGGGCAGAGAUGAUUUUUUUUUUUUUUUUUUUUGUAGAAUUCAAUAAGAAAAGUAAGGUUGAAACAUCCUAUUAAUACAAAACUUGAGGCAGCUCUUACUCAUCUGGGUUUAGAUGCAGCUUUAUUUGGAACAGAGAGCCAGCAUCACCAUCACACUGUGCACUGCUGCCUCAGUAUCAUUUGUCAUGCCAAGUUUUGUUCCCAGUUUUUCAGUGCUGAGUCUGGCUAACUUGGCUGCCCCAGUGGAGCAGACAGUUAGCCAUUUAGGGCUUACCCAAGAGGACACUCCCAGAGGGCUUGCUUCUCCUUACGGUUGCACGUCUGAUAUUCUGCUCAGAGAGCACGAACACUGGUUCUCCUUUUGCUACAUGAGGACGGUUGUUUAUGGCAAGUUUACCUAUUUAUGAAAGUUUUGCUUCACUUGAGCAGCGAAAUACUGAUUCUGAUCUCCGCAUUUGUGCCAGGUGUUGGCUUUCAGCAAGGUUUAUUUGUUAUCCAAAUACUAUACCCCUGGUGCUGAGUGACUCCUGGCCUGGACAUGCACAUCCUGCUCCCAUUUCCAUUCAGCUGUGGCUCCUCUGCUCACCACGGUGGGAACACAAACUGGUUUGUAGUGGUGUAAGGGCUGCUUGCUUAAUGUUUCCGAACGUUCAUUUAAUACUGUUUUUCUAAGAUCAAGUGAGUUGGGCUCAGACAUGAAUGCAGAGGUUCCAGAAGGACAGACCUGGCAGACACAGAUUGCCAAGGUUUAUUCACAUCUUGGAUGGUCCUUUUUUUUUUCUGUAUGCAGUAGCUGUUGUACUACAGGUGGCCCUGUGGUGUUCGGAGUCCUGAGAGAAACCAGCCUGGGAGUGCUGUGAUUGCUCAGCCACUUGGGGUGAAGGCAGCCGUUGGAUUUUCCCCUGGAUCAGCUUUUGAACUGCAUUAAGGAGGAAGGAGCAGAAAGAAGGCAGCAGAAGGCCCCUCCUACAUUCCAGAUUAAUAGACCGGCUGGAGGUGUGACAUUGCCACGGUAGGGGAUUAAAAUCUUUAAUAACAUUUUUUUUUUUUUUUUUUUUUUUUCCCACCAUUUCCAGCGCUUUCAACCUGCGCGAUGCUUCUGUUGGCGGAUACGGCAGCGAAGGGCAGGGCGGUUCAGCACCAGGCUGUCAAAACAGCGUCACGUUACGGCCGUUCGGAAAACAAGUCUGCACAAAGGCGAGAUCGGUAAAUCUGCUCGGCAGUUGCCUGGUGCAGUAGGUGCUCAAAAGUUCACGACGGCUCCUAUUUUCCCAAAGCCCCCCCGGGAAAGGAGGGGGGGAGAAAGGGGGGGGGGAGGAGAGAUACCCUGCAGUUUCUAUGCGUGAUUCUGGCAAGCAGCCAGGGGCUUCGCUGACCUCCAAAACUGCUUUAGGAAUCAUUAAACGGGUCGGAGCGCACGGGUGGUGCACGCAGCUCAGGCACUCCACCUUUAGUUCCGAAACCCCCCGGUCAAGCACAGCGCUGGGUUCAUCCACUGCAACGCUCCACGAGCCUAUCGCAGAGGGCUGCACUGCGGCUCACUUACGGCUGCACGGCCGGGCCCUGCACUGCCACGGCCGGUCCCCGCGGAUCCUGUAUCAGCCGUGCGGCCAACACGGGCCGCUUCACGCACCUGUGCUGGGCAGGCUGCGAGGCCCGCUCCUUCCCGUGUCGCGAAGGCCCCACCGCCUCAUCUCGGGCCCGAGAAAGGUGGCUGCGCGCCGCCUCUCGGAGAUGAAACAGCGACACCCAGCGGCCGCCGCGGGGUCAGCGGCGCCGGGGUGACGGGGCGGGCGGGGUCGGGGCACCGCGGGGUCCGGGCGGGUUGAACAGGUAGUACGUACUGUACAGUGUUUUGUACUGCGGUGCACAUCCUGCACACUGCUCACUUACUUAGAAGGGAAAUGCCAGUGCUAAGCUUCAGCAGCACGGUAACUUCGUGUUAGUAGUCUUCGCUUCUCGAUCAGUGUGUUUUGAAUGUGUGAUUAUGACGUUCGACCUCUUCUAAACUGGAAAAAAAAAGGGGGAAAAAAAAAAAGAAGAAAAAAGAAGAAAAACUUCAUGGCUGAUUUCCUGGUGCACCUCAAACUAAAUUCACAGUAAUGCUGAAUCUUCAGUGUCUGCCUCACAUUGAGCCUUGCCUGGAUCCAAAAAGUAGGUGCUCUACACUUGAUUUUCAGUUUAGUUCCCCUUUACUUGCUUGUUUGUCCAUUUGCUGUGGAAUCUGUAAGCUUGAAGCACUCAGGAUUUUUGCAGUCUCAUCCUUGAUGUUCAUGGGGGUGCAGGCAGAGGGAGCAUGCUUUGCAUGCAAACAGGGUAAAGCAAACUCAGUUUACCUAAGAGCUAGGGCCUGUGCUGAAACUGCUCAGGUGUUGGUACUAUCCCCUAAACACUACAGUAUGGUUUCCUCAAUACUACUGCAUUGCUAGAACAGAUAGCAUGGCAGAAAUGAGUUGCUCAUGAACUAACCCUAUUACUGACCCUACCCGGUCUUCUGCCAGGCCUUUGACGUAGGCUCACAUAAUAUCCUUAUUUCUAAGCUGGGAAGAGAUGGAUUUGAAAAGUGGACUAUUUGGUGAAAAAGGAAUUGACUGUAAGGUCACAGCCAGAGGCUUGUGGUCAUUGGCUCUGUGUCCAGACGGAGGCUGAUGAUGAACGGUGUCCCCCAGCGGUCUGCCUGGGGACUGGCACUCUUCAACAUCUUUAUUGAUGACGUAGGUGAUGGGAUUGAGUGUGCCCUCAGCAAAUUUAUGGACAACACCAAGCUGAGUGGUGCUGUUGAUACAACAGAAGGAAGGGAUGCCAUCAGGAGGGACCCGAACAAGGUGGAGAAGAGAGCCCGUGGACACCUAAUGCAAACCAACAGGGAUCCGUGCAAAGUGUUGCAGUUGGGUUGGGGCAAUCUCGGGUAUGUGUACAGAGCGGGAGAAGAAUUCAUUGAGAGCAGUCCUAUGGGGAAGGAGCUGGGUCUUCUGGUGAAUGAAAAGCUGGACGUGAGCCAGCAGUGCGUGCUUGCAGUCCAGAAGGCCAACUGCAUCCUGGGCUGCAUCAGAAGAGGGAUGGCCAGGAGGGAGGGGGAGGUGGUUGUCCCCCUCUGUUCUGCCCUCCUGAGACCCCAUCUCAUCUCUCCCACCUAAACCAUUCUACGGUUCUAUGAUUCUGUCACUAAUUUCAGAGCUAUGGUGAAGUUUCUGAAGCAGCCGCUGUGGGAAGAAGCAGGAGUGGGAUGUAGCUGCGUAAGACAGGAAAUACAAUCAGGGUGGAAUUCAAGCUUGACAUGCAGAAACAUGCAGUGAGGAUGCAGAAAUAUUUCUGUACUGUAAGUUCUGGCUGAAUUCAGUCAUGAGGACAAAGAGUCAGGGGUGAUGGAAAUGGGCAACUUCAAAAUGAGAUCUUUGCCUCUACAUGUAAUGAGAGUAACAGAGACCACACCACUGCCCUGCAGGCUACAGAAGCGCAACUCGUAGGCAUGAGAACUAGGGCUGGUGACGUCGUUUUCCAGCAGCAUUUUUGUGAGGAAGGAUCAGGGCUAAUUGCAGAGCAACGUAGAGAGAGGCAACGGCUCCUUUCUUAAGGAAGGUGCGAUACCUGCAGGGAGGAGGUCACAGCUACCAGUGGUGUAUGUUGCAGCCUUUGUUUUCAACGAACAGUCCCCAGCUACAACACCACCCCGCUGGGUGUAGUGCCUUGCAAAUGAGCAAAUGAGUCUUCAAUUCUGUGUGGAAGCUGCUGAGGGAAGAUCUGCAGUCAGCGCUCAUGUCUUUCAGCUUGCUGAAGUGGUAAUGGUAAACAGCAGAGGCUAUCCCUCUCUCCAAAAAACACAUCAGAACGUCUGCAUUCAAACCGGGGUCUGAUAUUGACCAGGAGAAGGGAUACCUGAAUAACACCCUGUAUCAGACAUGGAAAUAGUUCAGAAUUUGCGUGCAAGACAGCAAACCUUAUUGUUUUUAAGAAGCUGCAGUCAGAAUUCGAGCAGUGAGAGAUCGCUGAGGAAAGCAGCUCCCAUCGUGCUAUUAUUUUUAUUGUUGUGAAAGCAAAUGACUAUGAAUAAAUGCACCAGUAAGUACAAGUAUUUUGAACUACAUCCUUUUUUUUAUUGCAAAACAAUUGUUACAGAAAUCUCAGAAAGUUCUACUGUAGUAAUUGCCAACUUCUGCUUUUUAUUACAUACCUAAACACAGUCUAAAAGUGCAUUGUGAAUCCAGUAGACCUUUGGAAAGUACCAUUUUCCCUAGUGACAUACAUUUAGACAAAUCAUAUUUGAAAAGCUUCGUAUUAGUAGGAAUUUGUUUAAAAUGAUGUUUUAAUCAUUUUUUCUCCCUUUAUAAAUGAUUGUUAUACACUUACAAAUGAUAACCCAAAUAAUAAAUGAUUAAAUAGCUAUUGGUAUAGUAUAUUGCAAACACUGUUCCAGACAGCAGUAGCAGCAUAUAGACUCUCCUCGUGUACAACAACUGCAGUGGUGGAAGAAUAUAACUUUAAUACAAUUUACUCUUGUGAAGGCAUAAAAUUGUUUUUCACAGCCAAUUCCCACUUCUGUUCCCUCUCCCUCCCUACCAAAUACUAAAAUAAACAAGAGUUAUCACUUCCCUGCAGCAGAAACAGCAGCAAUUUCAUAAUCAAACAUUUAUUUUCCUAAUAAUUUUUUUUAGAAAUAAGUACUCUGUGGCUCUAUGACAGAUCUGAAAGCGUACAGCAAAAAUUAAAAGGUCAAAGACUUUCACAACCAGUCUGGCUCAGUCACGAGACUGCCCACUUGAUGAUGAUUUAGGACAAGCUGCGUCAUGACUCAAAGUAACAUAGAGAUAGAAAAGCAGGAUUAAUCCAUUCCCUGACAAAAGUCAGAGUAACUCCUUUGAAAUCAGUGGGUUUUUUUUUUUUUUUGUCUUUUCUGCAGAUUUGCACCAGCAGUGAUAAGACCGUAACUGUUGUCAGUACGCUGUGAUUAGUUACAUAGCUGCACAACUCUCACCGAGGUGCAGAAAGUUGGUCCCCCCCCAUUCAUUCAACACUUGUGCCUUUAUGCAAAAGUGUGGCAGGGCCAGUGAACACCAUCUAGAGGAACAAAGGGUUUCAUUAGAUAAGCAGAUGCCCCAGUGCUUUCCUUUUGCCCAGUUCGAACGAUGCUGUUGUUUGAAGUAGGCGAGGGAAAAACUAUGCUGGGAAGCUUUCCUAUUUCUUAUGUAGUAAGUGAUCUAAACAUAGUAUCUUUUAACAGCACUGAAAAUGUGGCCUUUUUCCCACUAAUUUUAUUUCCUUUCUUUCUUUCUUUCCUUCUUUCUUUUCCUUCCUUCCUUCCUUCCUUCCUUCCUUCCUUCCUUCCUUCCUUCCUUCCUUCCUUCC